UACGUAGGGGACGAGCGUUGUCCGGAAUUACUGGGCGUAAAGGGCGCGCAGGCGGAUAUUUAAGUCAGCUGUUAAAGUCAUGGGCUCAACUCAUGGAUGCGGUUGAAACUGGGUAUCUAGAGUGCUGGAGAGGUAGGCGGAAUUCCCGGUGUAGCGGUGAAAUGCGUAGAUAUCGGGAAGAACACCAGUGGCGAAGGCGGCUUACUGGCCAGCAACUGACGCUGAGGCGCGAAAGCCAGGGGAGCGAACGGGAUUAGAUACCCUGGUA
rnacentral:rRNA from 1 species